UACGGGGGGGGUAAGCGUUGUUCGGAAUUACUGGGCGUAAAGGGCUCGUAGGCGGCCAACUAAGUCGGACGUGAAAUCCCCAGGCUCAACUUGGGAACUGCGUCCGAUACUGGAUGGCUUGAAUUCGGGAGAGGGAUGCAGAAUUCCAGGUGUAGCGGUGAAAUGCGUAGAUAUCUGGAGGAAUACCGGUGGCGAAGGCGGCAUCCUGGACCGACAUUGACGCUGAUGAGCGAAAGCCAGGGGAGCAAACGGG
rnacentral:rRNA from 1 species